rnacentral:rRNA from 1 species
UACAGAGGUGGCAAGCGUUGUUCGGAAUUACUGGGCGUAAAGGGCGCGUAGGUGGCCUUCUUAGUCAGACGUGAAAUCCCUCGGCUUAACCGGGGAACUGCGUCUGAUACUGGAUGGCUUGAGUUUGGGAGAGGGAUGCGGAAUUCCAGGUGUAGCGGUGAAAUGCGUAGAUAUCUGGAGGAACACCGGUGGCGAAGGCGGCAUCCUGGACCAAAACUGACGCUGAAUAGCGAAAGCCAGGGGAGCAAACGGG